CCCCAGCGCCACGAGUGGUCAUCGCGAUUAUUGGGCCUAAAGCGUUCGUAGCCUGUCUAGUACAUCUCUUGUGAAAUUGUUCGGCUUAACCGGACAGCGUGCAGGAGACACGGCUAGACUCGAGACCGGGAGGCGUGCGAAGUAUGUCGUGGGGACUGGUAAAAUGGGAUAAUCCACGAUAGACUACCGAUGGCGAAGGCAUCGCACGAGAACGGAUCUGACGGUGAGGAACGAAAGCCAGGGGAGCGAACCGG
rnacentral:rRNA from 1 species